rnacentral:rRNA from 1 species
AUUGAACGCUGGCGGCAGGCCUAACACAUGCAAGUCGAACGAGUGGCGGACGGGUGAGUAAUGUCUGGGCAACUGCCUGAUGGAGGGGGAUAACUACUGGAAACGGUAGCUAAUACCGCAUACCAUCAGAUGUGCCCAGAUGGGAUUAGCUUGUUGGUGGGGUAAUGGGUCACCAUGGCGACGAUCCCGAGCUGGUCUGAGAGGAUGACCAGCAAAACUGUAACUGAGACACGGUCCAGACGCCCACGGGAGGCAGGAGUGGGGAAUAUUGCACUAUGGGCGCAAGCCUGAUGCAGCCAUGCCGCGUGUAUGAAGAAGGCAUUCGGGUUGUAAAGUACUUUCUGCGGGGAGGCGUUACCCGCAGAAGAAGCACCGGCUAACUCCGUGCCAGCCGCCGCGGUAAUAC